rnacentral:rRNA from 1 species
AUGGCCUUGUGCCGGCGAUGGUUCAUUCAAAUUUCUGCCCUAUCAACUUUCGAUGGUAGGAUAGUGGCCUACCAUGGUUUCAACGGGUAACGGGGAAUUAGGGUUCUAUUCCGGAGAGGGAGCCUGAGAAACGGCUACCACAUCCAAGGAAGGCAGCAGGCGCGCAAAUUACCCAAUCCCGACACGGGGAGGUAGUGACAAUAAAUACUGAUACAGGGCUCUUUUGAGUCUUGUAAUUGGAAUGAGUACAAUUUAAAUCCCUUAACGAGGAACAAUUGGAGGGCAAGUCUGGUGCCAGCAGCCGCGGUAAUUCCAGCUCCAAUAGCGUAUAUUAAAGUUGUUGCAGUUAAAAAGCUCGUAGUUGAACCUUGGGCCUGGCUGGCCGGUCCGCCUCACCGCGUGCACUGGUCCGGCCGGGCCUUUCCUCCUGGGGAGCCGCAUGCCCUUCACUGGGUGUGUCGGGGAACCAGGACUUUUACUUUGAAAAAAUUAGAGUGUUCAAAGCAGGCCUAUGCUCGAAUACAUUAGCAUGGAAUAAUAGAAUAGGACGUGUGGUUCUAUUUUGUUGGUUUCUAGGACCGCCGUAAUGAUUAAUAGGGAUAGUCGGGGGCAUCAGUAUUCAAUUGUCAGAGGUGAAAUUCUUGGAUUUAUUGAAGACUAACUACUGCGAAAGCAUUUGCCAAGGAUGUUUUCAUUAAUCAGUGAACGAAAGUUAGGGGAUCGAAGACGAUCAGAUACCGUCGUAGUCUUAACCAUAAACUAUGCCGACUAGGGAUCGGGCGAUGUUAUCUUUUUGACUCGCUCGGCACCUUACGAGAAAUCAAAGUUUUUGGGUUCUGGGGGGAGUAUG